rfam:Talaromyces marneffei PM1 scf035, whole genome shotgun sequence.
GGCCGCCUAGCGCAAUGGUAGCGCGUUGGUUUUCGGUUAUCUAACUUUCCAGUUAGUUAGAGGUUCACCAAAGGUUGUGGAUUCGAGUCCCACGGUGGUCG